UCCCUUAUAGCUCAGUGGUAGAGCGCGUCACUAGUACUCCUUGUGCGAUGACGAGGUCCAUAGUUCGACUCUGUGUGAGGGAA